rnacentral:sRNA from 1 species
UAAAGCCAGAUCCUGGUCCUCAUCAGCCGCUUCUGACAUAUUCACAUCACCAACAGACAUAGC